GUUUAAUUGCAAAAAUCCUUCAAAAUCAAUAUAUAGUUAAAAGGAAUUUGGUUGCAAAUGGCAUUAUGCUAAUUUAAAAAUAGAUUGAAGUUGGCUGAAACUAUUAGAAAAAUUAUCUCCCUUAGUGGAACUCUCCUUAUUUAAAGGAAUUAAAAGUGUGAUGUCUUAAUGGCAGACGAAAAGAUGAAGUGUUGAUUUGAGGACAAUAUUAUGAUAAAAGAUCUCUAGCUUUGUUGAAAGAUUGUAAAAUAGAUUCAGCUGAAUAUACAAGGUAUUUUAAAUGCAGCACAUAAGACAUUUCUGUCCGUGAAACGCUUCUUAUCGUUAACCAUCUUGAACCAUACAGCUGUUAUGGGACUUGGACAGUCUAAUUUCUGUAAACAUACCUACAUGUACAUGUAUGUGUCAAACACAGAAAUAUACUUGGUCUACACUGGAAAAGGAAAAAAGAACAUGUUGUCACCCAUACCUGAUAGGGGAGACGCUAUUAUGCAAACCCGUUAACCGAGAGGGUCAAGCUGAAUGAGGUUUUGCCUGUUGGAACUGGUAUAUGCAAAAGAUGUAUAGAAACACACUUUAAAAAAUCAGUAUGGAAGUAAAGCUGAAGGAAGAGCUUAAAGCAGAAAUGUGUUCCUAUUGACAAGGCAACAAUUGAAUCAAACCAAACAGAGCAAAGAGUGGAGGAAAAUGGAAGAAGUCAUGGACUUAACAGAAAACAUAUGACCUAAUACCUGCAGAUUUUGAAUUCAUAUCAUCAGUGCAUAUAAAUUGGUCAAAAGAUGAAAGAUCUCAGCAUAAAUUGUUCAAUCAUGCAAAGCAUAUCCUGUCAAAUGGAGAUUACCCUCCCUUAAAGUGCCAAGUAUCUCAGAAAUUGGACUAUUUGCAAUACUGUUCAGGAAUAUUUUACAGUCAGUACAUUUAGCAAUAGGGCCUGUUGCACCAUGCCAAGGUACAGAGUUGAUGCUUCAAGCUGUCGACGGCAUUCCAAAGGAAAAGGAUGAAACUUUUUUUUAGCUCACCUGAGCCGAAGGCUCAAGUGAGCUUUUCUGAUCGAAAUAUGUCCAUUGUCUGUCGUCGUCGUUGUCGUGGUUGUAAACUUUUCACAUUUUCAUCUUCUUCUCAAGAACCACUGUGCCAAUUUCAACCAAACUUUCCACAAAGUAUCCUUGGGUAAAGGGAAUUCAAGUUUGUUCAAAUGAAGGGCCACACCUUCUUCCAAGGGGAGAUAAUCAUGAAUUUGUGAAAAAUUGAUGGCAUCACCUAAAAACUUGUCAAGAACCA